rnacentral:rRNA from 1 species
UACAGAGGUCUCAAGCGUUGUUCGGAUUCAUUGGGCGUAAAGGGUGCGUAGGCGGCGCGGUAAGUCGGGUGUGAAAUCUCGGAGCUUAACUCCGAAACUGCAUUCGAUACUGCCGUGCUUGAGGACUGGAGAGGAGACUGGAAUUUACGGUGUAGCGGUGAAAUGCGUAGAUAUCGUAAGGAAGACCAGUGGCGAAGGCGGGUCUCUGGGACUA